UCUAUCUUGUCAGACCAAACAAGUAACAUUUUUGAUUUUUAAAUGUAACAAGUUUUUUUUUUAUAUAAGUGGGUUAAGGAACCGUUAUCAACUCGAACAUUUCCUACAUUAGGCAGAGAAACAAAACACGCUUGAAGAUUAGUUCUAAGAAAGAAGUGUUUAUUUUCACAUAGAAAAUUAGGUGGGAUUGUUGACUAAUGCCGUCUUCAUCAACUCUUCAUUGCCACCUUUUCUCAAUUCAGUCCAAUUCUUCAGGAAAGUAGCUAUUUCAGAAUGUUCGAAGGUGAUCGCAUCGUCUAUUGCCAUUCUACCCAUUCUGAAGAUAAAAACAAAUUAUUCAUUUGUAAUAAACAUGAAGGGAAUGAAAAUGGAAUGUACAUGUCUCGAGCAUCAAUAAUAUUGGGACAGUUGGCUACAAUAAAUUUGCACAACGCAGUAUGUCCAUAUGAAGCAGCAACAUGAAGAAUAGUCCUUUUCAUAUCCAAUGAUAUUUGAUUACCGUGCAACUGUGUCCAAUUCACCAUUUGUGGCCGCGUUGAACAGAGCACAGUUGAUGCUGCAAGUCGUAGCAAUUUGCUUAGAACCACCCAAAGUUUUCAAAUAAAGACUAUUAUCAAAAGGGUGGAAAUUGUAAAAAGUAGCAAGGGUCUGAAAAAAAUUAAAUUAUUAUUUGUCAGUGGAACAUCUUCUAAACACAAACCUUUAUAAAUUUCAAUGAUCUUCUGCUCAUAUCGCAGUUUUCCAACUGAGGAGAAUAACAAGCGAUUGCAAAGAAACCAGGCACUAUGAAGAUAGCCGCUCCUGUGGAUGCUGAAAGUUUAAAUACCUCAAAGAGAAAAUUAUCUUUUGUAUGGUCGAUACCACAAGUUUGCAAUACAGAAAGGACGUUUACGUUGUUAUCUUGU